rnacentral:rRNA from 1 species
UGGGGAAUUUUGGACAAUGGGCGAAGGCCUGAUCCAGCAAUGCCGCGUGUGUGAAGAAGGCCUUCGGGUUGUAAAGCACUUUUGUCCGGAAAGAAAUCCUUGGCUCUAAUACAGUCGGGGGAUGACGGUACCGGAAGAAUAAGCACCGGCUAACUACGUGCCAGCAGCCGCGGUAAUACGUAGGGUGCAAGCGUUAAUCGGAAUUACUGGGCGUAAAGCGUGCGCAGGCGGUUUGCUAAGACCGAUGUGAAAUCCCCGGGCUCAACCUGGGAACUGCAUUGGUGACUGGCAGGCUAGAGUAUGGCAGAGGGGGGUAGAAUUCCACGUGUAGCAGUGAAAUGCGUAGAGAUGUGGAGGAAUACCGAUGGCGAAGGCAGCCCCCUGGGCCAAAUACUGACGCUCAUGCACGAAAGCGUGGGGAGCAAACAGGAUUAGAUACCCUGGUAGUCCACGCCCUAAACGAUGUCAACUAGUUGUUGGGGAUUCAUUUCCUUAGUAACGUAGCUAACGCGUGAAGUUGACCGCCUGGGGAGUACGGUCGCAAGAUUAAAACUCAAAGGAAUUGACGGGGUCAUAGCUGUUUCCU